UAGAUGCGAGAGUAGAGCAUAUCAAUAAGCGGAGGAAAAGAAACUAACAAGGAUUCCCUAGUAACGGCGAGUGAAGCGGGAAGAGCUCAAAUUUGAAAUCUUAAAGGGUUUCUACCUUGACGAAUUGUAGUUUAUAGAAGUGUUUUCUGUUAGUGGAGUUCGGUAAAAGUUCUUUGGAAUAGGACAUCAUAGAGGGUGAGAAUCCCGUAUUUGGUCAUUCCUCCUAGCGUUGUGAUACACUUUCAACGAGUCGGAUUGUUUGGGAAUGCAGUCCAAAAUGGGUGGUAAAUUUCAUCUAAAGCUAAAUAUUGGCGAGAGACCGAUAGCGAACAAGUACCGUGAGGGAAAGAUGAAAAGAACUUUGAAAAGAGAGUUAAACAGUACGUGAAAUUGUCAAAAGGGAAGCGUUUGACACCAGUGUUGUUUUUCCGAAAAUCAAUUACGAAUGUUUUAGUUUUUGAGGAGUUAUGACUUCAUCGGCUUGCUCCUUUCUUUAUGAAACUUUCUUAAUGCACUUUUCGGUUAACAAGUCAACAUCAAUUUCUUUUGUUGUAAAAGGGUAUGAGGAAGGUGGCUUUCUUUUCGGAGAAAGUGUUUAUAGCCUUGUACCUCUGCAAUCGGAGAGAUUGAGGUCUGCAGCGUAGAUCCUUCGGGGUUAGAUACAUUUGUGCUAAGUUAUAGCUUUUCAUAGACAACUUGUUGACUAUGUUAAGUCUUGUAGCUUACUCGCUUAUGCUAUUUUACCUACGCUUAGGAUGUUGACACACGCGCGUGCUCG
rnacentral:rRNA from 1 species